rnacentral:lncRNA from 1 species
GCUGCCUGACAAAUGCCUGGCCAGCGGGGAUCAGAGGCAAACGCCACUGCAGUUUGGCCCUGUUGUCAGAGCGAGUCACUGGCUGAGAAGAUGAAUCUGUCCUGGGCCUCAAAGCCAGGGCCGUAGCAGCCUCUCUUCUGGGCACCGAGAAGGCAGUGCUGAGCCCAGGGCUGCACUGGGAGAGACAAGGAGGGGCCCGAGUGUCUCAACCUUGGAAGAAACCUGGACCUCAGACUCAGUGCCCCUCCCAGCUCUGGCUGCAGGCUGUAGACACUUCAUUGUCUCCUGCUGAGCGACUGAGGACUUGGGAGGAAAUCCUGCUUAGAACUUCAAACCUCCAUUCCCAGAGCCGCAACCAGACACUGGAGGGGCAAAGAAGGUGGCAUCAGGAGAUCAUGAGGAGGGUCUCCCCGGGCAUGGAUGGACCUCCUGCCUGGAGGGGCUCAGUCCAGGAUUUCCCAAAAGCCAGCCCCAAGACCUGUGCUAAGCUUCUUACAUCCAAAUACUGGGAAAUAGAAAAUACAGAUCGCAGAUUCUGUAACAUGGGAUCUCUCUCUCCCUUCUCCUCACCUGUGCCUGCGUGCAUGUGUGGCUGUGUGGAUUGGGAGCCACUGAGACCCAGAGAUGGCAAAUGCUCUCAGCGGACAGCAUGUCCCCUGCCAGGGGCUUCAGGCAUGUACCUAUUAACUUUUCUGGAGGGGCGGGACAGCCACGGUCUCAGGUGUUUAAAAUCUCUUAAAGGUUUGACCCAUAGGAAUGUGUCAGCAGAGUGCUAAGAAUAUGGAGUCAGAAGGCCUUCUAAUUUCAUAUUCUGUCACUUAGUGGCUCCGUCAUUUAUUGGCAGCAUAAUUUUCAGCAAGUCACUUGCUUUCUGAAGCCUCAAUUUCCUCAUCUAUAAAAUGGGGAUAUUGAUGCCUGUCUUGCUGUGGAAUCUUCAUGUGAGCAUAUUUUGAAAACCACAGGCCAGGCACGGUGGCUCACACCUGUAAUGCCAGCACUUUGGGAGGCCAAGGCAGAUGGAUCACAAGGUCAGGAGUUUGAGGCCAGCCAGGCCAAUGUAGUAAAACCCCAUCUCUACUAAAAAUGCAAAAAUUAGCAGGGCAUGGUGGCAGGCGCCUGUAGUCCCAGCUACUUGGGAGGCAGAGGUGUGAUAACUGCUUGAACCCAGAGACGGAGGUUUCAGUGAGCUGACAUCACACCUUUGUACUCCAGCCUGGGCGACAGAGUGAGAUUCCGUCAAAAAAAAGAAAACUGCAAAGCUCCACUUUUUAACCCCGAUGAAAUCCAGAACCAGACUGACUUUUCAAAGGAGAAACCUUUCAGGCUGAAUUUUCUUCCACUUCUUCCAAGUCCAGCUGUAUCUCAUAUUGAAAGAUGAUCUCCAUGGAGGAGCCCCCAUCCCGCCCAAAGGUUUCUCGUACUCAGUCUUUGGGCGACACCUGCUGGCCGUAGCAGGUACUGUGUCCUCCUGUAGCUAAACAGCUCUGCGGAGGAAGCUUACCCAUCUCCUUAGACAUUCGCAGCCACGCUGCAG